rnacentral:lncRNA from 1 species
GAGCCUACAGAGGCAGGCAGGCCUCCUUGAGCUGUGGUGGGCUCCGCCCAGUUGGAGCUUCCUGGCUGCUUUGUUUACCUAAUCAAGCCUGGGCAAUGGCGGGCGCCCCUCCCCCCGCCUCGCUGCCGCCUUGCAGUUUGAUCUCAGACUGCUGUGCUAGCAAUCAGCGAGACUCCGUGGGCGUAGGACCCUCCGAGCCAGAGAUGGGAUCUUACUACAUUGCCCAGGCUGAAGUGCAGUGGCUAUUAACAGCUGUAAUCAUAAUGCAUUGCAGCUUUGAAUUCCUGGGCUUGAGCGACCUCCCCACCUUAGCCUCCUGAGUAGCUGAGACUACAGGAAAUAAACUUAAGGAGAAAGAAGAAACAAAGAUGGGGCGGAAAUGUAAGAGAGGCAUUCUAAUAUAUGCAUUCUUCAUAACAACUGUGUGAAACAUAUUAAUAUCCUCAUUGUUAACGAUGAAGAAACUAAAUCUCAGGAAGAAAAACUAAGUGAAGACAAAAGAAGGAUUUGAACUGAGGUUUGUCAGACUCUCGGGACCAUGCUGUUGAAACCACUAAACCACGCUGCCUCUGGGUCACUUGAUUAUUCUGGGAGAUUCUGGGAGUCUUUUCUCCAACACUCCAGUGGCAUCUGACUAUGUGAGCUGAUAAGAUCUAUAGAUCUUUGCUGAACCUGAUUCUGGAAGGUACAACAAUUUCGGCCAUCUUCCUAAUCAAUACUGUGAGAUGGGACCAAAUUGAUUGUGUGGUACAUGAAGCACAGCCCAGGAAAAGCUGAUGAGACCUAGACACCAUUAUAUAUUUUGCCUGACUUAUUAACUUACUCUGUGUCAAAAUUGAGUCCGUUUUUGAUAAAAAUACAGUACUGAGGAACUGUUUCUUUCCUCCUUCUCCAUGUCCUUGUCUCUUCUUGGUUAACAAACCUGACUAGCAAUUGUUUUUCUUUUUUCUUUUUUUGCAGUGUUUGUGAAGAUUUUCUAACCUGGUAUCACACGG